rnacentral:misc_RNA from 1 species
AAGUCGUAACAAGGUUUCCGUAGGUGAACCUGCGGAAGGAUCAUUACCGAGUGUAGGGUUCCUAGCGAGCCCAACCUCCCACCCGUGUUUACUGUAACCUUAGUUGCUUCGGCGGGCCCGCCUUUAAGGCCGCCGGGGGGCAUCAGCCCCCGGGCCCGCGCCCGCCGGAGACACCACGAACUCUGUCUGAUCUAGUGAAGUCUGAGUUGAUUGUAUCGCAAUCAGUUAAAACUUUCAACAAUGGAUCUCUUGGUUCCG